rnacentral:rRNA from 1 species
UACAGAGGUCCCGAGCGUUGUUCGGAUUCAUUGGGCGUAAAGGGCGCGUAGGCGGCUUUAUAAGUCGGGGGUGAAAGCCUGUGGCUCAACCACAGAAUUGCCUUCGAUACUGUAGAGCUUGAGACCGGAAGAGGUAAGUGGAACUGCGAGUGUAGAGGUGAAAUUCGUAGAUAUUAGGAAGAACACCGGUGGCGAAGGCGGCCCACUGGAUCGGUACUGACGCUGAGGUGCGAAAGCGUGGGGAGCAAACAGG